rnacentral:rRNA from 1 species
CCUACGGGAGGCAGCAGUAGGGAAUAUUGCUCAAUGGGGGAAACCCUGAAGCAGCAACGCCGCGUGGAGGAUGAAGGCUUUCGGAUUGUAAACCCCUUUUGUUAGAGAAGAUAAUGACGGUAUCUAACGAAUAAGCACCGGCUAACUCCGUGCCAGCAGCCGCGGUAAUACGGAGGGUGCAAGCGUUAUUCGGAAUCACUGGGCGUAAAGAGCGCGUAGGCGGGAUAGCAAGUCAGAUGUGAAAUCCUAGGGCUUAACCAUAGAACUGCAUUUGAAACUGUUAUUCUAGAGUAUGGGAGAGGUAGGUGGAAUUCUUGGUGUAGGGGUAAAAUCCGUAGAGAUCAAGAGGAAUACUCAUUGCGAAGGCGACCUGCUAGAACGUAACUGACGCUGAUGCGCGAAAGCGUGGGGAGCAAACAGGAUUAGAUACCCCGGUAGUC